rnacentral:ncRNA from 1 species
GCGCUCCGGAGAAAUCCUAUUACGGAUGCCGAAGGUGCAAGGCGUUUUUAUAAAAAUCGCCAAUCUCUCAGGCAAAAGGACGGAAGU